ACUUCCUACACCUGGACAUUUACCCAGUCUCAAAGUUCUUGAAAUACGGGGAAUGGAUAACGUGAGAUGCAUAGGAACUGAAUUUUACGGCAGUUAUAAUGGUGAGGGAUCGAGUAAUAGUAGAGGUGGCAGUGGCAGCACCGUGUUGUUCCCAGCUUUGGAAGAACUUGUUUUGGGUGGCAUGCGUACUCUAGAAGAAUGGAAUGACGUGACGGAACCAGCAGCAGAAUUAGGAAUGAUAUUUCCUCGCCUUGAGUGUUUGGAGGUUUGGAGAUGCGAGAAACUAACAAGUGCUCCACAUCAUUUUCCGUCUCUUAAGGAAUUAUAUAUUUCCAACAUCAGAGUCCCGGCAUUUGAACAGCUUAUUAGCGAGCUUACCACACUCACGUCCCUCCAUAUUUCAGAAAUUUCAGAACUUGCUUGUCUGCCAGAGCAUUUUUUGCAAAAUAAAUAGGAGUCUCGUGGAUUUGACCAUAAGUUGUUGUGCUGAUUUGGAGUCAAUCUUGCCACAUGGCCAUGUAUGGCCCAUCUGCACCUCUCUCCGAUCACUCUUUAUAGAUGGCUGUGACGAACUGAGUACAUUCCCAGAUGCACUGCACAACCUUCAUUGCCUUGAGGAUAUUGAGGUAAAAUGGUGUCGUAACCUGAGGUCCUUUCCAAGUAUACAAGGUAUCGCAUCCUUUCUUCAACGCUUGUGGUUAUGCUGUAGUGAUGAAGCUCUACCACCUGGGCUACAAUCCUGUGUGUCUCUUCAACAUUUGUUUAUAGACGAUUGGCCUCAUCUGAUAUCAAUUCCAGAUCUACAAAAUUUGCAUUCUCUUACCGAUUUACAAAUUUACCAUUGCCCUAAUCUGAUAUCGAUUCCAGAUCCAAAAGAAUUGCCUUCUCUUACCCAAUUAAAAAUUUGGGAUUGUUCUAAAUUGAAAUCGAUUCCAGAUCUGCCUUCUCUUACUCUACUAAAAAUUUCUGGUUGUCCUAAUCUGAUAUCGAUUCCAGAUAUGCGUGAAUUGCCUUCUCUUACCCAUUUACAAAUUAGCGAUUGCCAAAAGUUGAGGUGUGUGCCAGACGGAUUAGACUUCACCCGCUUGAAGUGUUUGCGGAUCGGUGGGUUUUGUAAGGAAUUAAAUUCUUUCCCCAGUUUCAAUUUCAACGAACGCUCACAUGCGCCCCUUGAAGAAUUAUACCUGUAUGGGUGGGCUAGUCUCAACACUCUACCGGAGGAAAUUCAAUUCUUCACUGCCGUCAAAAUUCUUGACAUAUCUGAAUUUGAUGAAAUGGUCUCUUUGCCUGACUGGUUAGGCAACCUUCCUUCUAUUCAAGAGCUAUAUAUUCACAAUUGCAAGAACAUGAUGUAUCUGCCCACAACACAAGCCAUGCGACGCCUCAUCAAACUAGAACAACUAUCCAUUCAUGAAUGCCCCAAAUUGAAGGAAAGAUGUGCAGAAGGGAGCGGCGCAGAGUGGUCUAAGAUUGCCCAUAUUCCGAAAUUUUCUUCUAAUGGUUACGGAAACUGCAAAGCAUUUAUUGUCCCCAUCUAAAGGAAGGAUGUGUGAAGGGAAAGAGCCAGGUGGUCCUAAAUUUGCAUGAAGAAAAUAAGUUUGCCAAAUGUUAUGGAUAUACCUGGCCACAAUAUAUAAAAUGGAAAAGGAAGGUUCUUUUCAAGACCUGCUUAUUGUAAUUAUGAUUGCAAAAAGCUGAUAUAAUGCCUCACCAUAUAGUGGAAAUUGUAGAUUUUUGUUGUCCCCCAUUAAAAGGAUAUGUGCCAAGGGAAAACUGAAAAGAGCCAGGGUGGUCCAAGAUUGUCCAAAUAUAAUACAAAUAGAAAGAUUGUUCAUAUUCUGUCAUAGAAAUCCACUGGGAUAGUUUCAGGUACUCAUUUUUUAGCCGGGAGAAUUGAGAUCUACUUAAGCACAAAUAGUUGCAGGGCUAUUUUGUAGUUAUUUUCAAUUGGGAGGAUAGUUCAAAUCUAUUUGGAACAAGUCAAGACUCUGAUCUGCUUGUUAAAGUUGAAGAUUUUAGAAAACUUUUCUACAAAACCAGCUCCAAAAUUGGAAGGUCAACUCCUAUUUUGAUGAAAUUUCAGAAUGUUGUUCCUGACAAAGAAAGCCUCGUGUUGACUGGUGUUGCUUGAAAUCCCUCUCCAUUUGCACGGAUGGUAGGACCCACUUUGUGAGAUCUUUUCUAGUUGUUAUUGUUGUAAUCCAAGAAUGGCAUUUUUUUUUUUAUGUCUUUGUAGACUCUAGCAUUUGUUCUAGAAAGAUUGUUGUAAACACAUUAUUCUAUAGUGGAAGAUUUUACUGGACUAGGUCCCGUGGUUUUUCCCUUCCCAUUGAAGGGUUUUCCACGUAAAAAUUUGGUAUC